rnacentral:tRNA from 1 species
UGGGCUGGGGCUCAGUGGUAGAGCGCUCGCCUCGCACGUGUGAGGCCCUGGGUUCGAUCCUCAGCACCACAU